UGGAAGUAGGUAUUGGAUAAGAUAGUGGCUUGUGAACCAGUAUCUAUUAACCCUUUAAAAGGCUGGGGUAGCGAAUCCUGUAUUUCUACAGACAUGUAGUACCUUCCUUCAUGUUCUUCUAAUUCACAUAAGAAUUUAGAAUGUGUCAACAUAUUACUUGUUUUCCAUACGUUACCGGUCACAGCAGUAGUUUCUACCUGUACUGAGGAAUGCUCAGUCUUACCCACAGGCCCAUCCUUAUUAGGAAUAUCUUGAACUGUCAAGCGGGAACUAGUGGUCGGCAU
rnacentral:lncRNA from 1 species